UUGGGAAAUCCAGUUGAUGAUCUGUCAAAGUUUGGAGCAGUGCAUAUACUGAAUGAAGGUUAUAAUAUUUCUACUACAGCUUCAAGCCCUUGUGAAAAAAGAGGAUUGGGACUUCUCCCUGGAAACUAGGGAUGAAGACAUAAAGUUGAAAUGAGCUGCCAGGUUCGUGCUGCAGAUUGACAAAGGACAAAAUCUUAUGCUUCUGAGCUCAGCAAUGAAGUUUUAAUCACCCCAACAUACAUCUUUCCCCAAUAUAUAUUUUUCUGUCUACCAAAGACAUAAUGGCUGCUCCUUUUAUGGGAAACCAGGAUUUAAUCCAAGGCCUGAUUUAAAAGUCCUGCUGCUGUUUGUUAUAGUAACAGCUUCUCAACAGCAAGGAAUUAAG